UACGAAGGGGGCUAGCGUUGCUCGGAAUCACUGGGCGUAAAGCGCACGUAGGCGGCUUCUUAAGUCAGGGGUGAAAUCCUGGAGCUCAACUCCAGAACUGCCUUUGAUACUGAGGAGCUUGAGUCCGGGAGAGGUGAGUGGAAUUGCGAGUGUAGAGGUGAAAUUCGUAGAUAUUCGGAGGAACACCAGUGGCGAAGGCGGCUCACUGGUCCAUUACUGACGCUGAGGUGCGAAAGCGUGGGGAGCAAACAGG
rnacentral:rRNA from 1 species